AACGAACGCUGGCGGCAGGCUUAACACAUGCAAGUCGAACGGUUGUAGCAAUACAGCAGUGGCAGACGGGUGAGUAACACGUGGGAACCUUCCUAGAGGUACGGAACAACUCAGGGAAACUUGAGCUAAUACCGUAUACGCUCGUGAGAGGAAAGAUUUAUCGCCUUUAGACGGGCCCGCGUCGGAUUAGGUAGUUGGUGGGGUAACGGCCUACCAAGCCUACGAUCCGUAGCUGAUCUGAGAGGAUGAUCAGCCACACUGGGACUGAGACACGGCCCAGACUCCUACGGGAGGCAGCAGUGGGGAAGUCUUGGACAAUGGGCGGCAAGCCUGAUCCAGCCAUGCCGCGUGAGUGAAGAAGGCCUUAGGGUUGUAAAGCUCUUUUACCUAGGGACGGAUAAUAGACGGUACCUGGAGAAUAAGACCCCGGCAAACUUCGUGCCAGCAGCCGCGGUAAGGCACGACUGU
rnacentral:rRNA from 1 species